UGGUAGAGAGAGGAUUUUAGCCUCUGUUCAUGGAGCUACAACCCACCGCCUAACUCUCGGCCACCCUACC
rnacentral:tRNA from 1 species